rnacentral:rRNA from 1 species
GAUGAACGCUGGCGGCGUGCCUAAUACAUGCAAGUCGAGCGAACAGACGAGGAGCUUACUCCUCUGACGUUAGCGGCGGACGGGUGAGUAACACGUGGAUAACCUACCUAUAAGACUGGGAUAACUUCGGGAAACCGGAGCUAAUACCGGAUAACAUGUUGAACCGCAUGGUUCAACAGUGAAAGACGGUCUUGCUGUCACUUAUAGAUGGAUCCGCGUCGCAUUAGCUAGUUGGUAAGGUAACGGCUUACCAAGGCAACGAUGCGUAGCCGACCUGAGAGGGGGAGGGCCCACAUGGGAAGGGGCACACCACCCGGACUCCUGCGGGAGGGGGAGGGGGGGAAUGUCCGGAAGUGGGGAAGACCCGGACGGACAAGCCCCGAGUGAGAAAAAAGGGUUUCGGGAUCGAAAACCUGUUUUAUGGGGAAAAAAAAAGUUUGUAGUAACAAGUACUCGUCUUGAGGAUACCAAACAAAAAAGCAAGGGCUAACUAGGUG